CACAAAUUAAUGACCAUUUGGUUGGAGGCAGAAAGGGUAUUUUUGUGGUUAUAGUAGCUACGUGACUGAUUUCAUUUUCCUUUAUCUUGCAUUUCAGAAUUACUUACAGGUUUAAGUAGUUAUCCUUAAGCGGUUAACAGAGAGGUGUGUUGACGGGUUUCUUGUAAAAGAGUAAAGUUGAGUUGGACUGUUGCUACUUUCACAUGCGGUCGUGUGUACCGUGUUCAUAAGAGGAGAACAUAUGAAUAUCUCCUUCUUGGGAUAUAUUAUGAGCAAUUUUGUGAAAGCUCCGAAUUCGACGUGUUUAGUGACGUUUACGGAAGUGGCGGAGGCCGUGGAAGUUCAUUUUUCGUUGGAUGGUAAGUUAAUAUAUUGUAUAUAUGUAUUUUGUUUUGGGUUUUGCUUAUUUUAGAUUGUGUAAAGGAGGAAAGUCUUGGUAUUCCCCACCGCCUCAUCUUUCCCCCCUGUUAUUAUGCCUUUGCAUUCACUGCACUCUGUUACCCGCCUGCAAGCUAACUAAACUAUUAGCCUCUGUGGCUUCUGUUUGCAUCCGCGUUGCCUUUGCUUUCGCAGCGGUGCCAAGCAUACAGCGCACACGAUUCCCCUGUCGUUACCGCAGCUCACGAGUUCCGUUUAAAGGCAGCGUGUAUGUGUCAAAUUGUCUGUUAAAAGCAUGGCCUCUUUUCAACCAAUCAAACAAAUUUGAAUGUAUUCGGAAAACAAGUCUAUAGUAGGUAUUGGCCCAAAUAUAAAAUUAAACAACAAUUGUGCUCAAAGGUUGGAGGUGCGUUGCAUGUUGCAACAGUAGAUAAACACCGUGUAUGGAGUGUGUCUAUAACUAUAGGUCGUCUUUAGCUUUAAUGUUGCUAUAGGCUAUUGAGUUCCACGUGUCCCUUUCCCUAUGUGACUGAAAAACAGACUGAAGCCGGGAAAGCUUUUCACCAGCCUCAGCUAAAGAAGAAGCUGGCUGCACCUGAGAAUUCAACAUUAUCAGCUGAGCCCUGCUCUGCACCCUCAGGACCACAGACCACAAAGCAGUAACCACUAAUGCUGAACAGAUGUUCAUCAGCUGCAGAAAUGGGAUGAACUCUUCCCGCACGGUGGCUGGUUUCAUUUGGGCUUUAGCUGCAUUAAGGCGUCGCUGCAGUUUAUUCGCUUGCUGCGGUAUAAAAUUGCAUGAUAACAAGCAUUGUGUCAGAAGUUACCUGGAAGUGAGCAGAGGGAGCGCUGGGAGACCAAAACCUGCCACGUAGUCCGUCCUCUGUGA